UUUAUUUCUAACUUCCAUGAAAGGAACAAGAGUGAAUCCUAUCCUGAAAUUUAGUACUACAAAAGAUUUCGAAACAGAAUUGGAAUGUUUCCACAGGGUUGUAGGUAGCCUGUCCAAGGUCUGCUGUGAAUUCUGUGAAGUUCCUGUAUGUUCCUCCAGAACAUACUUGAGGACCAACAAAAAACAGCAUGUUGCCGAGCCCUAGUUGGAGGAAAAAAAUAAACACAAACAUGUAACUGGUGAAGACUGCGAU
rnacentral:lncRNA from 1 species